GCGCUCGCUUCGGCAGCACAUAUACUAAAAUUGGAACAAUAUAGAGAAGAUUAGCAUGGCCCCUGCGCAAGGACGACACGCAAAUUCAUGAAGCGUUCCGUAUUUUU